rnacentral:lncRNA from 1 species
UUUACUCAAGAAAAAUUAUAAGAAUAUGUAUUUAAUCAUAGGCAGACAGAAAUGCAGAAGCUGAUUUUGAAGUAAAUACAUACCUUUUAGCUUAUUGAAAAUCCAUUUUUUUGCCUCUUCUUCAAUAGUGUUCGACAAAUUCUCAAUAGAGCUGAAAAUUGAUUGUUUCACCAAAAAAUAUGAUGGACCGCGGACGGACCAGCGACAGGAACUCGAACCGGAAUCAACCUCAGCUCAAACGAAACUCCAUCUCGCCACUAGUGAACGCACAAGUUAAUCCCACAGCAAAGGCUAAAGCAACCUAAACAACCCAAAAAGCAAGAAGUUGACUAGAUGAUUCUGGUACUAGUAAUACAACGGACACAAUGUAAUGAAGGGAGUAAUUAUAAGAACAUUGUACAGUGCUUAUCCUGCCCCUGUUUCUGUCCGUCCGUUUCCUCUCUUUUUUUCCAGUGUUUGGGCGUUUUCUAGUUGAGAAAUGGAGAUGAAGGCCUGGUCUUGUGGGAAAUAAUGUUCAAAACAAGCUAUCUAGUAGCUAUCUCAAAUGUCACUACCCAGUUUAAAUUUGUUAAGCCCUUCAAGUAUAUUAGACAAACAUAACACUCUGGAGAUAUAAGUUUAAUUCAGAAAACCUAUCCGUUGGUCAUUAAUCAAAACAUAGAAGCAGCUAAUGGCAGUGAUGAUAUUAAACCGGACGGAUUCAGGAGAGGAAGGCAUCCUGCACUCACUGCUAGCAUUUUAAGCAUUUUUGCACCUUAUUUCCAGUCAGAAAACAUGCAAUGUUGACAACAAAAUAAUAAGGCCUAUUUCUGCGACUGUGCAUGUGAUCGCAAAUGUGUUUCAUAACAGGGAGAUCGAUAGGGAAUUAGUUGAGUUGGCUAUAUGAGGGUGGUGAACAGUGGCGUAUCUAGGAUUUUAAGGUUAUGGGUGCUCACUUCCUUUAAUAGAAAGGUGCUAUCAAUCGCAUAGUAUAAGUGCACAAUUAUUCGAAUGCAAGAGUAAAAGACUUAAUAUGAAAACUACUAAUAAUAUUUUCAUUACCAACAAAUACUUUUAGUCACAAGUCAUAAUGAACUAUUAAUAGUAUUAUCAUUACCAAAAGGACUUCUAGUCACAAUUCACAACUGUGAUCGACGACUUUUUAUAUGUUGAAAACGAUGAAUAAUGGCAUCGUUGCUCACAGUUGAGAAUAUCUUACGCUCUACAUAGCAAACUAAACAACUGUUUAAAAAUUCAUCACCUAUGCUAUUACGAAGCUCAUUUUUUAUGUAGUUCAUGGAUGAGAAAGCGCGUUCCACAGAAGCGGUAGCAACAGGAAGAAUGAGAGUCAACUUGAUAAGUAAAUACACCAGUGGCCAAGUUUGAUGCAGGUCUGACUUAACCAAUACUUUAGAAAGGUCACUAAUUCCCUUCAUGUUGAAGAACCUCUUGUCAUGACCACGAGCAUAAACUACAAAACUAUCAAGCUGGAAACUAAGAUCCCGAAGCUUGUUGCUAUCAAACUCAUUGGGAUAAUAUUCAGCCAACUUCAUUAUCCUGUUCUUAUCAAAAUUACCAAAUGAAUUAAGUGGAUUUAAACUAGCCAUACCGAGAAGUAAGUCAGUACUCAUGGCAUCAAAACGACUUCUAAGCUCUUGAAGAUGCAAAUCGAUAACACCAUUAAAUAUCUCAACAUGCAAGUGAUGAGAGUAUGUAACAUCAAGAGCUCUACGCUUUGACUUCCCAGGAAAAUAGAGAGCAUCCAUCUUCGGGAUCAUUAUCUCAUGUUUAUCACAGAAUGAAGAGACAUCAUCCAUUAAUGAUUGAAAUUCACUAUUCCUCAUCCUUUGUAAUCUUUGCUUUGUAUGAGUGAGGAGUCUCAUAGCAUUGACAAUAUCUUGAUCCAUCCUUUGUAAUGAGGAGCUCAAAUCAUUUGUCAUCAUUAGAACUUUCCACAUCAAGUGCAACAUAAAAACAAAUUCAAAUUCCUUAAUCUUAGUCAUAAAGCUUUCAGCAACAAGUCUAUCGGCAUAAUUUGGACCCUCACGAGCAACAAAUUCAAGAACAUGAAUAAUUGAUGAAAAUAGGACAAUGAGGUUAUUUAACGUUCUAUAAUGAGAACCCCAACGAGUAUCACCUGGUUGUUGAAGCCCACGUUCUUGAUUUAGUCCUCGUCCAGUAUGCACCUCACCUGAUAUGAGCAACUCCUCUAAUUUUUCAGCUUGAUGUUGUCGAAGCAAAUCCUUGCGCUUAAAAGAUGAUCCAACAAUAUUUAACACAUUAGUAACUAUACAAAAAAAGUCAUCUACAUCUGAAUGCUUCUUUGCAAGAGCCACAAGUGUUAACUGCAAUUGGUGGGGAAAAUAAUGAAUGCAAUACGCCGAUGGAGUUUCAUUCAGAAUCAAAGUCUUAAGACCACGUAGCUCUCCCUGCAUGUUACUAGCUCCAUCAUAACCUUGCCCACGUAUUUGAGAUGGACUUAAUGAGUGAUAUGAAAGAAAAGAGUCGAUUUCCUUCUUCAAUGAUUGAGCAGAUGUAUCAUUGACAUGAACAAUACCAACAAAUCUCUCAAUUACUUCGCCUUCUUUGUUAACAUAUCUCAAAACAAGUGUCAUUUGCUCCUUGUGUGAUAUAUCCUUUUAUUCAUCAACUAGUAUCCCGAAAAAAUCCCCAUCCAAGUCUUCAAUGAUAGCUUUGAUUGCUUCUUUGGCACAAGCAUCAACAAUAUCUUUCUGAAUCAUUGGGGAACACAUCAUUUCAUUUUUUGGAGCAUUUUCUAAUAUAAUACUUCCAAUAUCCGGAUCAAUAUCUCCAUACCAUUGCAAGAGUUCAAGAAAGAUACCUCUAUUUGUAGAAGAUUGACUCUCAUCGUGCCCACGAAAUGGCAAUCCUAGUCUCAAAAGAAACCUAGCCACAUCGAUUGAAGCACUCAAGCGACGUCGAGACUCACUUUUUUCUUUCUCGGAUUGCUUUUCAAAAGAAGUGCGAAUUGAUUGUGAUUGAUUCAUUAAAUCAAUCAUCCUAUUGAAACACUUGUUGUGGAUGCUAUUUACCUCUCCAACAUGAGCUCAAAAUCUUUCUAUAGCCUUGUUCCAACCUUUAAAGCCAUUUUUUGUAAAAGCAUCCCCCAUAUUUCCAUGAAUUACAUGUUCAUUUUUGAAUAAAUAACAACACAAACAAUAUGCAGCAUCUUUUGAUAUACUGUACUCCAACCACUUUGAAUGUUGAACCUUAAACCAACCAGGAUAAAACUGACGCAUUGUCUUCCCAAACUUAGUUUUAGGAAAAUCAUGACUCGUAGGCUGGCAAGGUCCCAUUUGAAUAUAAUGUCUUCUAAGUUCAUCUCGUAUAUUAGGGCUAUAUUCUGCAAUGGACUUCCUAUCCCCCGGGUCAGUAUUGGGAGAUCCUAAAUUAUGAUCUGAAAGAGAUAUAUCCCUUUGAAUUUCCGGGGCUACGGAUGACGCAACAGAUGAAUGAGUAGAACUAGAACUUGGUUGCCCAACUUUUGAUCUUGUGACAAACUUAUCCAUCUCGACACAAAAAAUUGAUGAAGAAUUCCUACAAACAAGAUUUAGUUCAAUUUAAUUUCAUCCGAAAUUUACUACACAUAAUUUAAUUAAUUUUUAUCGGGAAAACCAUGCCCCUCAAUCAACAACACAAACAACACGGCAAUAACAAUAUAACUAUUUAAUUUUUCGAAAGAAAAGAUAAAAACUUACAAAUUUCUGAAGCAAUGAGUUGAUGAGCACAAUUUCAUCAAUCGCACAACCCACCAAUAUUACUAACCUGCAUAUAUUCUCAAAAUUAAGUUUUGGAAUCAAGCAAGUUGGUAACAAAGAUAAUAUUUUUCAUUGAAUCUGCUUUCAAAGAAUAAGCUAUAAGCAUGAUAAAAUUCAAAAUACUUCUAAGAAUAUUUUUAAUUUCUUACUUUAAUAAAAACACCAAAUCUUAUUACCUUGUGCUAUGUUCUGAUAAUCUGAUUUUGAGAUUGUUGUGAAUGACCGGAGAGUUUGCUGAUUGUUUCGUCUACUUUGUUCUUCGUUUUUCCCUUCUCUACGUUCCUAAUGAGCAAAAAUUCAAGAAGGGUUUAGUUUUAAACUUUUCUGUAAGACUGUAAAGAUGGCCUUUCUUAUACUUAAAUCUAAUUAAUUAUUAAUAUAAUAAAGCCUAAAGGUGAAAGGAAGUAGGAAAAGGAAAAACUAAAAACUAAAAAAGGAAAAUUUAGUUCAAAAGCAGAGAAAGGUUAAAAACUAAAAAGAUAGGAAAACGUAAAGGGAAUACAAAAAGUUAAACUAAAACGUAAUCUGACAAUCUAAACUAAAACCUAAAGGGAAUAGGAAAAGUUAAAAACUUUUCCAUAAAAGACAAAAAGCUGACAUUCAAAAAUAUAAAGGCAGUGCUGUGACAGGAAUCGAACCUGGGUCUUUGCUUUCAGAAAAGGUUUUAACUCCCACUUCAGAACCACAACACCCAUCAGUCAUUUUGUUUAUUGGGUGCUCACUAAAAUGUUAUAUCCUAUUUCUUAUAUUUUUAUUAUAGCUAUACCUAGUUUACGUCAAGGUUAAUGGGUGCUUGAGCACCUAAAACUAGUAUGUAAAUCCGCCCCUGGUGGUGAGAGACAGCGGACGGCGAAAGAUGUGGCUUUGAGAGGAGUAACGGCUGGAGGUGAUCUCUCUAGGUUUUGGUUCUGAAGAAGAUGGGUGGGGAGCUGGUUGUUUUGGGAGUUGCGGCUAGUUUUGGUGUUGGAAGUUGGAGAAGAGAUCAGGGGUCGUUUAGUGUGAGGUCGUUCGUGGAGGAUGGCGACUGUGGUGAUAUUUGCUUAGGAGUUCAGGGGGUUGUGGGCGGUUUGAAUUUUGGUGCGAAGAAGAAGACGUUCAGGGGGGUCUCCUA